rnacentral:lncRNA from 1 species
CUCAAGCUGCAACACCAUCAUCAUCUGAUGGUAUUCCAACAUCUGAAGCCUCAGAGAGGAUCAAAACUGGUUUCAUUCACUUCAAGAAAGAGAAAUAUGAGUUAGUCACACUAAACUCAUAAUACCUUACCUUUAUAAUUAGUUAUAUACUUAAUUUCUUAUAGCUUAAGCUUUCUCAUUCAAUUUUGUUAUUAUUUUAUUUUUCCACAGCAAGAAUCCAGCUUUGUAUGGUGAACUUGCCAAAGGCCAAAGCCCCCCGGUAUGUUGUGACUAAUUAUUUAUUUAAUAAAAAAUAUUACUAUUAAAAAUUUGUCAUUUAGUAAUCAAUUUAGAGACUAAAAAUAAUUAGUCAAUGUUGAGAUCGAUUUAGCGACCAAAUUCUUAUCGAUCGUAAAGAUAAACUACUUUUACAUUAUCAUCUGAUCAAAUCUAAUAUGACCAUAUAUGAUCAAAGUGAAAUUUGAUAUGACAACGGUGUAAAAAUAGUUGAUUUUAUUAGUGUAUAUCUAUUAAACUUUAUAGAAUAAAACCCUUUUGAAUUUAGAUUUAGUCAAUUUAUUUUAUUGAAGACAAACUUUUAUCUAUUUUUCAGUAUAUGGUGUUUGCAUGCUCAGACUCAAGAGUCUGCCCAUCUCAUGUGCUAGAUUUCCAGCCAGGAGAAGCUUUUGUGGUUAGAAAUGUUGCUAACUUGGUUCCACCAUAUGACCAGGUUUGUUUUUCAAUCAUAUAUACACAUAAACAAUGCAUCUCUUUUACUUUAAUAUAGCAAUAAAUAUCUCGUAUAUGAGACAACGUAUACAAACAUGAACAUGAAUACGCCACUGACACAUGAACAUUAAUAAUAAUUUAAAAAAAUAGAAGUGAUUGAACGUAACCACGUGCAUGAAUGUCGUUCCGAUGUUCAGCAUCAUGCACAUUUUCAAUCUAAAGUGUCAGUUCUACACAUAUUAUCUGGUUCGAUACAAUUAUUUUCAUAGGGUAAUUUAUUUGUUUCACUAUGCAAUAUGUAACAGGC